rnacentral:lncRNA from 1 species
UUCUAGCAUUUGGAACUAAAUGAUGAAACGCCUUCUAAGUAGUAACCAAGCAAAGAAUAAUGAGAUCAUGCAACAACUUUAGAAAACAAUAAUGCACAAAUUGUAACUCUCCAAAUAAACGUUUAGGCUCAAGUCUUACAAGGUUGUAGCGUUUGUUUGAGUUCCUUCCUUCAAGCAUGUUACAAAAACUAAUUUUUUUUUCUUUUGAUUGCAUGUGAAUUCAUAAAUUAUAACCAUAACCAAGCAUAAACAAAGAGUAAUUCAAACUUUCAUCCAUGUUAAUCACUCUUUUUAAUAGCCAUGCAUUUACAAACCAAAUCCUCAUCAUUGUGUUGGAAGGUACCCUAAGACACAAACAAACACACAAGAACAACUCUUUUUGGCUUUUUCAAAACAAUUUUUCAAUUUUUCAAUUUUUUUCUGGGAUUUUCGGAUUUUUAAAACAAAACACACUAAAACACACCAAAACAGCUUAAAAACACUUAAAAACAGCAAGGAACAACACUUGAAGUUAUGGGUGAUAAAAUCCCACGAAUUUGCAUCAAAAACACUUAAUUACCCCCCCACACUUAAAUCAAACAUUGUCCUCAAUGUUUCAAGCAUAAAUUCACACAAAACACAAGUAAACACACAAACAGCAACUAAACAAAUAAACAUGGCAGAAUAGAAACAACAACAAAGAGAAGGGUUUUAGGAACGCAUAUCUGGAAUUGGAGUGAUUCCUAAGGCUUCCUUUGUUGUAUGCAUGUGUUGCCUCCCACCUAGCGCUUGCUUUAACGUCGUACAGCCGGACGAAGAACACCUUUACUCCUCCUUAGAACCCACGGCAUGUGGGAUCUCCUCCACAAAUGCUACCACAAAAGUUCUCGUAGUAUGGCUUCAAUCGAUCCAUUCACCUUGAAUUCUUGCCCAGUUCUCAAGCUCUUAAUUUGGACUGCACCAUGCACAAAAAGAUUAGUGAUAACAAACGAACCAACCCACUUGGAACGUAACUUACCAGGGAAUAGAUGAAGACGAGAGUUGAACAACAACAUUUUCUGCCCUAGUGUGAAAGUCUUGCCUCGAAGCAUCUUAUCAUGGAAUGCCGUGGUAUUCUCUUUGUAAAUUCUAGCAUUCUCAUAAGC